GACGAACCGUGCGAACGUUGUUCGGAAUCACUGGGCUUAAAGGGCGCGUAGGCGGGCUUGAUAGUCCGUGGUGAAAGCCCCGGCUUAACCGGGGAAGUGCCGUGGAUACUGCAAGCCUGGAGGAGGGUAGGGGCAUCUGGAACGCUGGGUGGAGCGGUGAAAUGCGUUGAUAUCCAGCGGAACUCCGGUGGCGAAGGCGAGGUGCUGGACCCUUUCUGACGCUGAUGCGCGAAAGCCAGGGGAGCAAACGGGG
rnacentral:rRNA from 1 species